rnacentral:rRNA from 1 species
UACGUAGGGUCCGAGCGUUGUCCGGAGUUACUGGGCGUAAAGGGCGCGCAGGUGGCGGUGCUGGCCCGGCGUGAAAGCCCCCGGCUCAACCGGGGAGGGUCGUCGGGGACCGCACCGCUUGAGGGCGGUAGGGGCUGGUGGAAUGCCUGGUGUAGUGGUGAAAUGCGUAGAGAUCAGGCGGAACACCCGUAGCGAAGGCGGCCAGCUGGGCCGACCCUGACACUGAGGCGCGAAGGCGUGGGGAGCAAACAGG